GGGCAUACCGGCUUCGCUUGGCGCGGCUUGGCUGGUUGGCUUCGCUUGUUACUGGCUCUGACUUUGGAAACUGCGAAGUUUCCUGGUUGGAGGUGGUGGCUGACCAGAGUGGCUUGGUCUUACUGGGCCUCUGAGGCUGUGAUAGGCGGACUGGUGCUGAGGUGUCUCUGAUAGCCUCCGCCAUGAGGAGGAGCUCUGGCUUCGGGGGCCAGAAGGGCCAGGGGCCCUCCUGCUCCUUCACCGGCUGUUGGUGUUGCAGGGGGGACGAUGUCGCCGAGAGCGAUGACAGCCCCUUCGCCCAGUGCGGGUACAAUAUCCAAGAGAAACACCUCGGCAAGCUCCACAGAGCUGCCAGCCGGGGUGAAGUCUCCAAGGUGGAGUGCAUCCUUUCGAGCGGGAGCGCUGACUUGGAUGAGAGAGACAAGAAGAAAAGGACUGCUCUGCAUUUGGCCUGUGCCAACGGCCAUCCAGAAGUGGUAGCUCUUCUGGUGGACAGAGGAUGUCAACUUGAUGUCUUUGACAACAAAAACAGGACUGCUCUGCUAAAGGCGGUACAAUGCCAGGAAGAGGAAUGUGCGACUAUUUUGCUAGAACACGGAGCCGACCCAGACCUUCCAGAUGUCUAUGGCAAUACUACCUUACACUAUGCCAUCUACAAUGAGGAUAUCCCAAUGACAAAAAAACUGCUUUUACACCAUGCCAAUAUUGAAUCAGCAAACAAGGAUGAACUCACACCAUUUUUGCUAGCUGUACAUGAACAAAAACAGCAAAUGGAAGACUUUUUAAGAAAGCAAAAAGAAAAUUUAACUGCAGUUAAGCUUGAAAGCAUUCACCAAGUAAUGUCUGAAUACAAAGAAAAUGAGACACCUAGAAAUCCUCAAAAUAGCAAUCCAGAAGGAACAUCUAACAAGAUGGCGUGCUUGGGAGAAGGAGCAGCAGGUGCAAAAGUGGAUGAGAUUCCUGGAAAUCCUGUAAAAAGGCUUUUCAACAAACCAUCUAUUGACGACUCACGACCUAUGUCAGCUAAUGAAGACUUUGAUUUUGAUACUGAGGAGAAAGCAACAGAGCCAGCAAAUGGAAAAAGACAAAAUGGUAUGGGUAUUAUUGAGAGUGCUCCACAAGAGCACACAAAUAAUGAAAACAUUUAAUUUUGAUUCAGAAAUGUUCGAGGUGGUAAGUUAGUGAAUAUCUCUGAAAAACAGUGUAUAUUAAGUAUUUUCAGUAGAAAAACCACUGAACUAUAUAGAUCCAAACAUAAUAUUCAUUUCUUUUCCACAAUUUUUUUCUGUCUUUCUUUAUACUACCAACUUUUUCCUAAAACUACUUCAAUUCCUCAAUUCCCUGAAAUUCUUUUUCUUUUUCUUUUUGUUAUUACUUUUGUUUCACUGAAAUAUUUAUGGGUGAAGACAAACCUGUAUAGGUAUAUAAAAUUCAUAGUGAUAAAUUUUCUCAUGAAUGUAUCUGUGUAUAACAUUUUAUAGAUAUGCCAUUCACAGUAAAAUCAGGACAAAAGGAAGACAUGCAAUCACAUUUGGACAGCAAGCAGAACAAGUCUUAGCAGUGAUAUCAGAGGAAGAGCAAGAAAGACUUGAAGAAAGUGAAAACAACGAGCUACAAAUUUCUCAUGGGCAUAAGAAAGAAAAAGAUCUGUUGCAUAAAAAUUGCAUGUUGCAGGAAGAAAUUGCAAGGCUAAGACUGGAAAUAGAUGCACUGAAAAAUUGGAACCAGCAAAAGGAAAAGAAUUUUCUUGAGGACAUUAAAAUUGCGAAAGAAAAGAAUGAUUUCCUUCAAAAUGCUUUGAUGCUGAAAGAGGAAACAUUUGCAACAAUGAUAUUCCAGGACAGUAUACAGCCUGAAGUUUUGAAAGCUGAGAAUGAAAUGUCCAGUUUUAAAUUGAAGGAUAAAAGCCAAAACCAGGAGAGACUGGAAAGAGAAAUUGAAUCAUAUCGUUGUAGACUGGCUGCUGCUCUACAAGACCGUGAUCAAAGUCAGGCAUCAAAAAGAGAUGUAGAAUGUGAUUUCCAGAGGACAAGAGAAGAGUGGUUUCAUUUAAAGGAAAAAAUGAAUUUUGAUAUGAGUAACCUAAAAGAUAAGAAUGAGCUGCUUUCUGAAAAACUUUCUAAUGCUGAAAAUAAAAUCAGAAGCCUCAAAAUGAAGUGGCACCAGACAAAAGAUGCUCUAAAGGAAAAGACAUUGGUUUUAGAAGAUGUCCAAAGAGACCUAACCCAAUCACAAUGUCGGAGGAAAGAAAUUGAACAAAUGUUUCAGAAUGAAGAAGACAAAGUGAGUAAAUACAUUCAAAAGCAAGAAUCUCUAGAGGAGAGAUUAUCUCAAAUACAAAACGAAAAUCUGUUACUUCGACAGCAACUGGAUGAGGCUUACAAGAAAGCCGACAAUCAAGAAGAGACAAUAAUUAAUAUCCAAGAGCAAUUUAAUGCUAUUGUCAAAAAUCAAGCUCAGAGUGAAGAGCAAAGUCUUCUACUAGAGCAGAAAAACAACAACUUGAUCAAUAAAUGCGAUUUCAUAAAAAAAAGAUUGUAUAAAUAUGAAAAAGAGAAAGCAGAAAGAAAUGAAAUUAUGAGACAACUUCAACAAGAACUGGCUGAUACUGUAAAAAAACAACCUAUAUCAGAGCCUCCACUAGAGGCUACACCAUGUUAUGUUAAUUUAGAUGAAACACAGGCCUCAAAGAGGAAAUCAGAUCAAAUCAGAAGUCAAGCUGAUCUUACAGAAGCAGUGGAAACUGCAUCUUCAGAAGGUCUACAUGUGAAUGCAGAGAUUGAAGUUCUUCAACAGGCAUUAUUAUAUAUGAAAACAAUGCAAGAGAAACGUGAAACACUACAGAAGGAUCAGGAGAAGUUGGAAGAAGAACUAGUAAACCUCAAAAGUCACAUGGAAAUGAAUAUGUUAGAAUGUGGUCAAUUGGAACACUAUAAACAGGAGGUAGAAGAAAGAGCAAGGCAGGAGAUAGCAGAACAAUUAGAAAACAUUGGUCUACUUUUACAGUCACAGAAAAUAGCUCAUGACCAGUUACAGUUAAAAGAGGAAAGCAAUGCUACUAUGAAAAGUCAGAUGGAACUUAGAAUUAAAGAUCUGGAAUUCAAACUCUACAAAGCAAGAACUUCACAAGCGGACUGUAAUACAACAGAAUUGGAAAAAUAUAAGGAGCUGUAUCUAGAAGAAUUAAAACUUAGAGAAUCUUUGUCAGAUGAACUAAACAAGCGUAAAGAAAUUCUAGCAGAUGUCAGUACCAAACUUCUUCAAGAAAAAGAGUGGAGCAGAUCUUUAUUUACUUCUCAUACUACAAGGCCAGUCCUAGAGUCAGCAUGCAAUGGAAAUCUUAAUGAAAAUUUAGGUCUCAGCAGAAUACAUAUUCCAAGAGAAGCCUUAAGAAUUCCUACCUUAAACUCAUUGUCUUCAAAUAUCAGAAUGGAGAGCGACUUGUCAAAGGAAGACAAGAAUGGAGGACACUUUCUGGAACUCCAGGCUUGACAACAUCUCUCGGUGUUGUGACUCGCAUCCUGUUGUGAGCAGUUAUGGUGCCAGGGAUCACCAGGUGGGUCCACUAUUCCAAGGUAAAGCUGUAUGACUCAUCUCUGGCAGAGGAAGUCGUAAAGGUCCCACUGGACACCUGGACCACUGAGCCCCUCCAGGGUCUCAAACUCCUCUUCAAGCAAAGCCAAAAGAAUAAAGAUAAGUAAAUUAGUAAUGCUUUGGAUUGUUAUACCAUGAAUCGUAAUACUCCUUGCAGGUUUACUAAUAUGUCUUUGCUACUGUGAACCAAUACCACCCCCCACCCACUGCCAGGAAAAGGUCUGUUCUUCCCUACCUGGAUUUAAAUCUCAAAGCAAUAAUCUGGGUGGUGUUCUCUCUAAUACUCACUGAGUUAACAAGUUCUUUUUCCAUAAUCAACAGACAUCUUGAUUUGGCUCUAAUCUGUUCUUGUUGGGACCAUGCAGCCAAAUGCUCUAUGCUCACUAAUGCUUCUAGCUAAAAUCACCCUCAUAGGCCCCAACAGCCCACAACUAUAUAUAAAAAAAAAUCUACAAGAAGCUCAACAACUACCGAAGUUCACCAAAUCUUCCUAUCCCUCAACCUAUGGGCUAAGCAUGAAUUAUUUCUAUCCAGGGCAGGAACAGCCUACCCAGCCACGAUACAAGAAUAGAAAACUUCUCAAGCCCAGUUUAGCUUCACCUAUCACUGAGGCUUCUCUAUACAAAACCUUCCCAGAGAUGCAUACAGUACCUAACACAAGCAAAGGGGACUUUCAGGCUUUUCUUAAGCCCACUUGCACUAUUUUAGGCCCCUUGUUUUCCCCCUUCACCAUCAGUCAGGUACUCCUAGGCAUCACUACUGCCACAGAUUCUGGAACUUUGGUGGGUUCUCUCAACCCUGCGCACUGCAACACAACCAUCACCAUUGUCAAUACCUCUCAUACUUCUUUUUUUCUAGAAACUGAAAUCUCCCAAUACCAAGUAAGGUUCUCUACCUUACCAAGCCAGUAGUGGUCAUGCAAAAAUUUCAAAUCUUUAACUCCCUUUGGAGGCUCUUUUCCUUGACAUUACUAGACACAUGCUCUUCUGGGAAAAUAAGAACCAUCCUCCUAUUCAAACUACUCACUCAUGUCUGGCUCCCCUAGCAGCUGCAACUUUAGUGACAGAAUAUCACAUCUUGCGUAGCCAACAAUGGUAAUGUUUGGAAUUGACCUUGCCUCCUUCCGUAUCCAUUCUUGUCUACGUAUGACAGAACUUUGUUUUCUAUGUGGGACACAGGCCCACCUCUGCCUCUCUGCAAACUGGACCAGAACACGCAUGCUGGCUUACCUCACCCCUAGCAUCUCAUUGCCCCAGGUGAUGCUUCUCUGCCCUUGCUCUUAUUUAUAACCUCACACUGGGGCCCACCAAGCAAUUCAAUUAAUUCCCUUUCUCGUUGGGCUUGGCAUCACCACAGGUGCCAUGAUGGGAAUAGCCAGCAUUGGCACUUACUCCUGAACCUACCACAGCCUGUCUCUGGAAUUGGCCCAAGGGAUAGAAACGACUAGUUGCUGUAACAGAGUUACAGUGGCAAGUCAGUUCUCUCGCAGCUAUAGUUCUCAAACAUGGUAGAGGUCUUGACAUGCUGGCUGCAGCUCAGGGAGGAACUUGGCUGUGCUUGGAGAAGAGUGCUGAUUUGGGUUAAGAGAUCAGGGCAGGCUCAGGAGCACAUUUGAGAUCUCAUAAACUAGGCUUCUCACCUUUGGGAAGGGGCUACUGGGGUGUCACCUGGUUCUGAUUCUCAUGGCUCCUCCCCUUCCUGGGACCCCUGACCUCUAUCUUCCUUCUUCUCUUUUCUGGGUCUUGCUUCUUGAAUCUACUAAGUAAGUUUAUUUUAUCCCAUCUAGACGCCGUCAGACUUCAAAUGGUCUUGUGACAAGGAUAUCAACCUCUUUCCUGCCCUUGAGGACAACCAAGUUUCUGUAUGUCUCCUCUGGACACUGUGGGUCAAACCUUUUGAGAGACAACAACAACCUCUGAAACCCUCUUGCCAUGACAGCAAGCAAGGAGGAGGGACCAGAAGACCCUCGACGCCCCUUUUCAGCAGGAAGUAGCUACAGAAGAAUGACCUCCACCCUAUUUCCCAAAAGAUUUCUGGGUCCCAACUCCUUAAGGAAUAAACGUGAAAGGGGGCAGUUAGUCAGAUAUUAGCAGGCAGGAGGGGAGGUACCCAUGUUGGAAGGAACAGCCCAGACCACCUCUUAAGAUGCCCAGUACUCACUUUAUGGUCAAACUCAAAAUGUGGCUAACUAGAUCCUGAUAAGGGAGAAAAAAGGCAAAAGCAGAAUUCUUGAGAGCCACACAGGUGCAAUGAGUACAAAUUUGAUGGCUAUAUGACCUUCCCGGGUGGCAGUAAUGAGCAACGUCCCCAUCGGGUGGAAUUUGUAUUGAUCACUGCGUCCAGUGCAUGUACAUGAACCACAGUAAGGGAUGAUCCCCCCAAGCCUUGGUGAGAACUGGACAAGGAAAGAAGCAAGACCAUAGAAUAUCGAAUGCAGAAUGUCCCGGGGCUGUUUCCAGCAGGGUCAGCCCACUCCUCUGUUGGAGUGUACUUUUACUUCCCCAAUAAAACUUUUGCCUGCUUUACUAA